CUUUUCAUCCAUCUUGCUGUGAACCCCAUAAGCAAUGAAGCUUCCAUGAUCUUCCAAAAGUCAAGGGCUUUUAAUAGCACUUGAUAUUUAUAUGGUACCUUUCAUCUGAGGACUGCAGUGCAUGUUACAACAUUAUCUCACCACGUUUUGCGGAGAAGGUAGGAGGCAGGUGCUAUUAACCCCAUUAUACAUAUGGGAAAACUGAGGCAAAGUGCUCUCAUGACCAACCUGAUGGUUGGAUCUGUCACUCAGGAUUAAGGGGAUAACUGCUGAGCCUCAGGACCCUUCUAAGGGAUUCUGGGAGAUUUAACCUAUUUUUUAAAGUCCUGAAGAGGAUUCUCUCUGAGGACACUUGUGAGUGGCCUAGUUAUGAGUUAUGAGCCGCAUCUUUUCCCUCCUUUGGAGUGGAGCCAUGGAAAGAAAGGAGUAAGUCACAGAGUGGAUGAGGAGGGGCAGAAAGGAGGAAGAAAGCCCUAGAUCAUUAUGGCCAGAGUCUUGCCAUUCACUAAAUAGCCCAGCAAGUGUUUAUAAUGCCCCCUAUUAGGUUUUUGGCUCUAUGCUUGAUGCUGGGAGAAUUCCAGGAAGAACAGAAUUAGCGCUCAUUGAUCAGUACCUCGCCAUUUCCACGGAUUCCUAGGAAAUAUGUGCAUUAGAAAGCACACAAACAAUGUUCCACUGUGAGGCACAAGUGAGAGAGCAAGUGAAAUAAGAUUUUAGGGGAAAGUAAGGUGAGCAAGGGUUUGAACAGCCAUUUGUUUCAAACCUGUGGGGGGUUUUAUUCAAGGGAAUGGGACCCAGUCUCAUUUUCUGGAACAGGAACAGCAGAUGGCCCGUGACACCAGAACUCGGUGGUUGCUGCGAGCUGGGCCAGUCCCAAGGGCUGUUGACCCGCAGCCCUCCCUCUGCGGCCCUGUUCCCCGGUUCCGUCGAGUGUAAAGAGGAGAACCCAGGAAGGCCUCUGCGCCUCGCCCAGGGUGAGGCCGAGUAGGACCCGGCGGAGGCGCGGCCUGCAGAGCCCCCGCCGAGCGCCCAGCCCAGCCAGCACCCAGCACCCUCCUCCUGCUCCUGGGUGCCACCCCUCUCGUCCCCACCGCGGGGCGCUUCCCCAAGUCUGCUGGGCUCCCCAGACAGCCUGAUGCUCCCCUAGAAGCUGAUGAUUGGUCUUGUUACCACUAAUAUUUUUUUAAGACUUUAUUAAUCUGAGAGAGAUGUGCACGCACGUGUGAGCAGAGGGCGCAGCCGGCGGAGGGGGAGGGGGAGGGGGGGGGGGAGGCGGAGGCAGACACCCCGCUGAGCGGGGAGCCCCAAGCUAGGCCGGCCCCAGGACCCCGGGUCCCCGCUGAGCCCAAGGCAGACGCCCAGCCGCGAGCCAGCCAGGCGCCCCAAUAAUUAGGUCAAUAUCAGCGAAUAUUCUAUUCAUUCUAGGUAAUGUCAUAAGCCCCAGUACGGGGACCCCUGGGCGGCUGCGCGGCUGAGCGGCUGCCUUCCACCCCGCUGUGACCCCGGAAUCCCGGAUCGAGUCCCGAGUCCCGCGUCGGGCUCCCUGCCUGGAGCCUGCUCCUCCCUCUGCCUGUGUCUCGGCCUCUGUGUGUGCGCGUGUGUGCGUGUGUGUGCGUGUGCGUGUGUGUGUGUCUCAUGAACAAAUAAAAUCUUUAAGAAAAAAAAAAAAACAGCAUAAAUGGGUGCAAUCAUUACUACCAUUAGUACGUUUAACUAUUUGAUUCACAAAAACCCCUGUAGGUUUAAUGGACUUGUCCAUGAGCCCUCAGGAAAUAGGCACACAUCCUCCCAGGCAUAAGCUUUUCUUAAUCAGCAAAGUUAAAAACCGAGUGAGAGAAUUCCUGCUCUGCGGCUCUUCCCGCGCGGCCCUCCUCCCUCCCGGGGCUGUGCGCCCUCACGAGGCCUCGGCGCCCUCUACUGGUCAUUUGUGGUUACAAAGGAGCCCCUCAGGCUCACCCAGAAACCGCUCUGCUCUGUCCCCUCCAGGGACACAUAGUAGCCCCAAAUCGGAUGUGGGGCUUAGACCCCAGGGCGCCUUCUGAUAUUUGCAAGUACUAGAGCCCAAAAAGGUAAAGAUGAAUCCAAAUUCCCCUCAACUGAUCAUUAGAAAAGGAGCCAAAAUAAAAUUUUGAAACACACAUGAAAGCUAGUUAGCAACUUCUUGGCAGAGGCUGAGACUUUCGUGCUUGAAUCCAAAGAGCCACAAAAUUACAAAUAGAUAUUAGACCCCAGAGGUGUGAAAGGAUGUGACACUCAUGUGGUUCAACUGCCCACCUGAUCUUCAGUUCCCUCCAACACAUUCUGCCAAAGGAGCCAGCCAGCCUGCCGUAGCCUGACUCAGGUGUCAGUCCAAGUCGAUGGUGAGAAUAGUCAGGCUGGCUCUUCAUGGGGCAAAACUGGAGAGGAAGUUCCCGUCAUCCUUUUAAAAAGGAAAAUAAAGAAAAGACAGUAUCUAUAUCCUUAAUUCCCUAUUUAAUUAACUAUCCAGUUCAUUAAAGGCAGAAGAGUUAUACAUGUGUCGUUUCAUGCUUAAAAAUCCCAAAUAAGUAAUAAAAGCAAAAUCACUUUUUCUGAAGUUAUUUCAAAUGUUGUAUUUCCAAUGUCAAUCUUAAAGAUGACCAAACAGGACUACCAUUUAACCAUGAAGGAUGGUACCUGUGUUUGUCUCUGCCCCCUCCUGAAAACUCCCUCCAAAAACACAGGACAAGAAUUGAAAAGGAUAAAAGAAUGAGAGGAGCUCUCAGAUAGGAAAUAUGAAUGUAUAUGGACAAGACGGAAAGCAAAUGCAAGUGUGGUCCCUAGCUUAAUCAGAAAGAAGGAGAAGCUGGACUCUAAAUGCCUAAGGAAGAGGACACUGAUGAGAACCCCAUGGACCCAGCUUUUCAGCCUGAAAAGGCUCAGGCACCAGAGUUAUCUGGUCAGGAAAGUGGAGGUGGAUGAUAGAGCUGAAAACAUCUUGUGGCUCAAGCAUCUUCUAGGGUCCCCGCAUCCAGCCAGCUGACAACAGAAAAAGAGGAUGGAGAAUCACACGUGAAAGAUUAUUAUGGGCCAAGCUGGGAAGUAGUACAUGUCACAGAAGCCUGUACUCCACUGGCCAGAAUAUAAUCACAUGGCCACACCUAUCUACCAGGGAGGCUGGGAGGCUGCCUCUCAGUCCAGGAGAAAGAGGGAACAGGAUUUGGUGAUUCUAUAACAGUGUCUGCCAUGGGCUGAGACUCUCCUAAUUGAUAGAACAAGUUAUAAAGUUCCCAGUGCUUGGUUACAGGGUGCUCACCAAAUACUAGAUCCUUUAUAGUCUUAAACCAUAACUCUUCUGGGGGCUAACUCUGCAUGUUUAAUAGUAAAUUGCAUAGUGUUUACUCUGCGGAAGCAUGGUUUUAAGUACUUCACACAUAUGAACUCAUUUAAUCCUCACAACAACCUGGGAGAUAAAAUAUUAUUAUUAUUAUCCCCAUUUUACAGAUGAGAAAACUGAGGGAAGGAGAGGCUUGUAACUAGCCCUGAUCAUGCAGCAACUUAGUGGCAGAGAUGAAAUAAGAAAUCAAAAAAAAAAAAAAAAAA
rnacentral:lncRNA from 1 species